rnacentral:sRNA from 1 species
AUGUGAACUCAUCUCCCUCACCUCUGCCGGUUUUCCUUUACCUCUCUCAUUCUCGGUGCUCAUCUUCGACAGGAUCACACAUUACAUACACACGACAACCCCGAGGACUUCACCAGCACCCCUAACAUCUAGACCUCCUCCUUUCUCUCUCUCUUUCCCUUCGAUACAUCUCGGCACUAUACAGUCACAGUGCUUGUGACUCCGGCGAGUUUUCAAAUAUUCCGACUAAGAGAUAACUCGGGGGAUUAUAUUUCCAGUUUUCCAGCAAGGUUCUGUGGCUUGCAGGCCAUUUCCCGGCCGAUCCUGAUGUCAACUUCAUUCCAUUUUGGUACAAUUAUUAACGGCGAUUCUAUCCAGCUUACUUCAUGCAGCUCUUCGACAACGGAGUAUCUGUGAAUGGACCCCUUCUAAAAUGCAUGUUUUAAUAGUAGAAAUGCAUACAUGAAAAGCAUGAUUUAAUAAUUACGUUUUAUGAAACGUUUUAUGAGAUAUUAUGCUUACUACGAAUAUUUUGAAUUAUCAUAUUUUAUCGAACUCAUGUUCUUUGUAGUAUAGAUGAUAGAUGACUUUAUACUGCUUAUGAACAUGCUUUUGCACACUUCUUUAUAGUAUAGAUGAUGGAUGACUUUAUACUAUGAAGAUGUUUUUGAGAUAUAUA